rnacentral:rRNA from 1 species
CCCUUAGAUGUUCUGGGCCGCACGCGCGCUACACUGAUGCAUUCAACGAGCCUAUCCUUGACCGACAGGUCCGGGUAAUCUUUGAAUCUGCAUCGUGACGGGGAUAGAUUAUUGCAAUUAUUAAUCUUCAACGAGGAAUGCCUAGUAGGCGCAAGUCAUCAGCUUGCGUCGAUUACGUCCCUGCCCUUUGUACACACCGCCCGUCGCUCCUACCGAUUGAAUGGUCCGGUGAAAUCUUGGGAUUUUGUUUUGUUUGCAUUUAUUUGUAUCGAGACGAGAGAACUUGAGUAAACCUUACCAUUUAGAGGAAGGUGAAGUCGUAACA